rnacentral:rRNA from 1 species
CCCCAGGUCAGGCGGGGCUACCCGCUGAAUUUAAGCAUAUCAAUAAGCGGAGGAAAAGAAACUUA